AUGGCCAGCCGCGACGACCUCGCCGCGCUCCGCGAGCAGACCGCCCUCGCCUCCUCCGCGGCCGUCUCCGUCUCCGACCUCGACCUCGCGUACCAGCUCCAGCUCGCCGAGGCCAUCCAGGCAUCUCUCCGACUCGACGCCCUCUCCAGUAAUCCCUCCUCUUCCAAAGGCAAAGCCCCCAUCGCCGCCGCCGCCGCCUCCUCCUCCUCCUCGUCCUCGUCCCGGUCCCAGCCCGCCCCUGCGCCGCCGGAGCCCUCGGACGCCUCCUACGCCCUGGCGGUCCACGCCGCCGACCUCGCGCGCGCCGAGGAGGACCACCGCUACGCCGAGGCCUGCCGCGCCUACCACGCCAGGGCCGCCGCCUCCGCCUGCGUCGCCGCCCACGACGCCAUUUUCGCGCGCGAACUCGCCGCUGUCCCGGAGGACCAGUGGGCCCACGACGGAGACAACAUCGAGCGCCCCCUGGACUCGACCAAGCCCCUCUUCCGCGUCAUGUUCAAGGGCAUGGCGAGCAAGGAGGUGGUCGGGUCGCGGGACUGGGACCCCCGCGUCGCGGUCCUCGCCGUGGCGCUGUGCGACUCCCAGGGAAAGGUGGUGCUCAGGAUACAGAAGCCGGUGGAAGGGUUUGUGGGCGGACGCAUGAUGCUCGAGGCAAUGGCUCUCACCGAAGGCCUCCAGGCGGCGCUCGGGUUAGGGAUCCAGAGCAUCAGGAUUCUCAACGAUUACAAGGCACUCCAUAACCAUAUGCGUGGAAUUUGGCGCCCGAAACAGGCGAAGCUUGCAGAAAUGAUAGAUCAGGUUCUGUCAGUAGCAAAGAAAUUCAAACAAUGUGAAAUUUCACUUGUGGAACGAGGCAAACUUGAUUACGUGAUGAAAUUAGCAAGAGAUUCGAUACUCUCUCAGAUUGCCAAAGCAGUUGCUGUGAAUGCUAGCAAGGAGAAAAGAGAGACCUGCGCCAUCUGCCUGGAAGACACCGAUGUUUCUAAAAUUCAUGUGGUCGAAGGCUGUGCACAUCGCUUUUGUUUCUGCUGCAUGAAGGAGCAUGUGAAAGUUAAGCUACUCCAUGGAACUCUACCAGCUUGCCCACAAGAUGGUUGCACUACAAAGCUAACCGUGGAGGGUUCAAAGAUAUUCCUAUCGCCUCGACUGUUAGAUAUCAUGGUGCAACGGAUCAGGGAAGGACAGAUCCCUGCUACUCAAAAGAUUUACUGCCCGUACCCCAAGUGUUCAGCCUUGAUGUCCUUGAGUGAAAUGAAACACCCAUUGCAAGAAUCUUCCUCAAAGUACACCAUUGCUGAUGCUGCCACAUUGAGGAAGUGUGUCAAAUGCAGAGGCUCAUUCUGCAUCAGCUGUAAGGUCCCAUGGCAUGACAGGAUGUCUUGUUACGACUACAAGAGUAGGUACCCCCAAGCUCGUCCAGAUGAUGCGAAGUUACAGAACCUUGCACGGCAGCAGCUGUGGCGCCAAUGUGUCAAAUGCAAGCACAUGAUUGAACUCUCAGAGGGCUGCUGCCAUAUGACCUGUGUAUGCGGCUAUGAAUUCUGCUACACCUGUGGGAAAGAAUGGAAGGACAAGAAAGCGACCUGCUCCUGCCCGCUGUGGGAUGAAGAUAACAUUAUCCGUGAUGGCAUGGAGGAGGAGGAUGACGACGACUAUGACUAUGACUAUGACUAUGACUAUGACUAUGACUAUGACUAUGAGGAUGAGGAUGAGGAUGAUGAUGAUUACAAUGAUUACUAUGCUAGAGAAGGGCAACACUAUGACAGGCAUAAUGCUGGCCACCAACAUGGUGGAGGAGCGAGGAAUUUUUAUGACUACAACAAUAAUCCCGGGCAUCAUCCUCACCAUGGCGGUGGAGGGGCACGAAAUUUCUACAACUACAAUUAG
rnacentral:rRNA from 1 species